CUGAAGUCCUUCCCUUGAAAAUGUGUCUGC
rnacentral:piRNA from 1 species